UACAGAGGAGCCAAGCGUUGUCCGGAUUGACUGGGCGUAAAGGCGCACGCAGGCGGGUGCGCGCGUGGGGUGUGGAAAUACUGGCCGGCUUAACGGCCAGGCGCCAUCCCAUACGGCGCGCCUGGAGCCUUGCAGAGGUCGGUGGAAUUGCCGGUGUAGUGGUGAAAUGCGUAGAGAUCGGCAGGAACACCCAGGGGGAAACAGCCGACUGGGCAAGUCGUGACGCUGAGGUGCGAGAGCGUGGGGAGCGAACCGGG
rnacentral:rRNA from 1 species